CCUGUUUAACAAAAACAUGUCUUUUUGAGUUAAUUUUAAAGUCUGACCUGCCCACUGAAGGAAUUUAUUUAAAUGGCCGCAGUAUUCUAACUGUGCAAAGGUAGCAUAAUCAUUAGUCUUUUAAUUGGAGGCUGGUAUGAAUGGUUGGACGAGGUAUAAGCUGUUUCAUAUUAAUUUAUAGUAGAAUUUUAUAUUUUAGUCAAAAAGCUAAAAUAUAAUUAAAAGACGAGAAGACCCUAUAAAUCUUUAUAUUUUACAUUGUUUAUAGUUUUUUAGAUUUAUUUUAUUUUUAUGAUUUGAAGUAUUUUGUUGGGGUGAUAUUAAAAUUUAAUGAACUUUUAAUUAUUUAAAAUCAUUAAUUUAUGAGUUAUUGAUCCAUUAAUAGUGAUUAUAAGAUUAAGUUACUUUAGGGAUAACAGCGUAAUUUUUUUGGAGAGUUCAUAUCGAUAAAAAAGUUUGCGACCUCGAUGUUGGAUUAAGAUAUAUUUAGGUGUAGCUGCUUAAAU
rnacentral:rRNA from 1 species